rnacentral:piRNA from 2 species
UCUUACAGUGACGAAAUUGGGUGG